UCUCCGAAGUGCUAGUGCUGCGUUGUCACAGCAACCCUUUGAGAGUGGAAGCACGAUGAAUAAUAAACUCCUUUUUCUACAGAAGAGGAAACCGAGGCCUGAGCCUUGGAUGGGAAUCAAAGACCACACUCUUCUAGAGGCACUGAAGAACGAAGUAACAAGAACAAUGAAAACUUUAAUCAGAAUAAUAGCAAAAGGUGCUGUAUUGAAGUCUGCACCAAGUACCGUGGGAUUGCCCUUCGUGAGAAUCCAGAGAACUUCUAGGAGAACGUGAUGUUUGAGUUGCGUCUUGAGGAUGAGGAGUUCAAAGAUAAAGAAAAGCAUAC